UACAGAGGGUGCGAGCGUUGUCCGGAAUCACUGGGCGUAAAGGGCGCGUAGGUGGCGGCCCAAGUCCGUGGUGAAAGCUCGCCGCUUAACGGCGAGUCGGCCACGGAGACUGGGUGGCUCGAGCACUGUAGGGGCAGAUGGAAUUCCGGGUGUAGCGGUGGAAUGCGUAGAGAUCCGGAAGAACACCAGUGGCGAAGGCGGUCUGCUGGGCAGUUGCUGACACUGAGGCGCG
rnacentral:rRNA from 1 species